GCGGACGUAGAGCAUCGGACGCGGGCGCCGUGGCGCUGGGCAGGAGGGCGAAGCCAUGACGUCAGUCAGAGAAAAUAUUCUCUUUGGAAUGGGAAAUCCUCUGCUUGACAUCUCUGCUGUAGUGGACAAAGAUUUCCUUGAUAAGUAUUCUCUGAAACCAAAUGACCAAAUCUUGGCUGAAGACAAACACAAGGAACUGUAAGUGCAUUAAACCAUUGGUUGUAAAUAGUUUACUCUGUCUAUGAACUUGAUAUAUGUAUAUGUAAAUUAUCUGAUUUUCAAAAUUAUAUAAUGACAAAGUAUAAUUAACACUAUGACCUUAAUCCUAACAAUUAUGAUAACCUACACUAUAUAAUUUACACUACAUAAAGUUUACACAGGACAUAAUUUCUCCUGUAUUCACAUUAAAAGAUGUAGUGUUGUAUUCCAUCAUCUAGACUAAAGUCUUACUGGGAAAUAUGUCAUGCUAUUUUCUCUUUCCAGAUAAAAUAUUAAAUUGUUCCUAUUUUCUUUCUGACUGCUCUACCAG
rnacentral:lncRNA from 1 species